CUUCUAUUUCCCAUCCUGUGUGCGCAAUGCUGCGACUUAUGUUACAUAUACUGCAACUCUCGUUUGCGGCAGAAAUGAUAAGGAAAAGUCGCUAAAUGCCAUCAAAACCCUCGGUGUCAAAACUCCCCAAUGGUUGCCUGAAAAGAUUAGCAUUGAAAGCGUGACUAGCGGUGGGGAAAUCAGAGGGAAGUCAGAGGACACUGAUGCCCCGGUCCCAUUUCACAGCAAGCAUCCAGACUGCCAAAAUCACAGUACCAGGGACUGCAAAGGGUGAGGGACCACACCAAUAACAUGGGUCACCCCUGCCACAACAACACCAUCAGACUCUGCCAACCCAUGGCCCAUGACACUCAGACCAAACAGGAAAUUCUGGAACUGUGCAGAUAAAACCAGAGGAUUCUGAUCUGGAGAGAGAGAAGCUGAAUAAGGAGAAGGAUGCUCUGCAGGUGACAACAGAGUUUAUGACGGUCAUAAUGGAGGAUGGAGGAUGGAGGAUGGAGGAGCAGCAGCAGCAGAGACCCUCAGGGAAGAACAACACUCUGAAAGCCAAAGACAAGCUACAGACCGGAGGGCCUCACAGCAAGGAGGAGCAUGACAGGAAAAUCAAAUGGAUCAAAACCGCGUGCUGCCUUCCACUGAAGAAGACUAAAUAACAGGCUGAGUUAUGACCCUAAGCUCUGAACUGUAGUACUGGAGAAAGGAGAUUGACCUCUGCUGAUGGUUUUGUAGUCUUGCUAUUGGUUGUGUUUAUAAAGACAUGAAUCAGCAUCUUCUUGGACAAAGCUGUGUAUUGUUUUGUUUGACGACAUAAUGUAAUAUUUUGAACUUUAAUUGUGUCUUUUGAAGUGCUGUUUUGAAAGCACUUCGAACUUAAGAAGAAUUUCAUGAAAAUGAGGUGUGUGCUCCAUUAGGAAUGGAGAAAUCAUGACAAUAAAGAACUCAUUCCAGAGAA
ensembl:lncRNA